rnacentral:rRNA from 1 species
GAUGAACGCUGGCGGCGUGCUUAACACAUGCAAGUCGAACGAUGAAGCCCAGCUUGCUGGGUGGAUUAGUGGCGAACGGGUGAGUAACACGUGAGUAACCUGCCCUUGACUCUGGGAUAAGCCUGGGAAACUGGGUCUAAUACUGGAUAUGACUUCUCAUCGCAUGGUGGGGGGUGGAAAGAUUUAUUGGUCUUGGAUGGACUCGCGGCCUAUCAGCUUGUUGGUGAGGUAAUGGCUCACCAAGGCGACGACGGGUAGCCGGCCUGAGAGGGUGACCGGCCACACUGGGACUGAGACACGGCCCAGACUCCUACGGGAGGCAGCAGUGGGGAAUAUUGCACAAUGGGCGCAAGCCUGAUGCAGCGACGCCGCGUGAGGGAUGACGGCCUUCGGGUUGUAAACCUCUUUCAGUAGGGAAGAAGCGAGAGUGACGGUACCUGCAGAAGAAGCGCCAGCUAACUACGUG